GACUCACUCAGUCACGGCAUGCCAAAGCCAAGGGUGGCGUAAUCAUGGUGGUGGUGACCAGAUAAUGAGAUCUUACCCGAUGGGCGAUGGCGCGAAGAUUCCCGCUAAGCCGCGGAACUGGCACAGAAGAAUAUUGCCUCCGACAGUCACCACCAGGGAGUCGUAAAAGCCCUGGUCACCACCGUCAGUACUUCGGCAGAUCUACCUCAGUCCUCAGUACCUGUACCUGGUCAUGACGACAUCGACAGUAAUGCAGAAUCUGACCGUCAACAAAAAUUGUUGGAAUUACACUUUGGUUGCUUCUGGUGGAAGAAGGAGAACAGAGCCGGGGAGAGGUGGCCAGAUGAGCCUCCUACGGGACGAUUUGCGUUCGGGCUCCCACAAAUGACAACGGUCGCAUCCGACCGCCUACUGGCGGAGUUACUUCCUGGCUCACCUCCUGCACCCGCAGGCUCAGGCCUUCCGACACUAGGCCGUUCAACGCCCGUCCACAGCAACGGUUUUGUUUCCCGGUAUCGCAUGUUUUGUUUCGUUUGGUCGGAUAACGCGUAUAAGCAGGCGAGCACGCAUCAGCAGUUCAAGUAUUGAUAUUGGCCACUGCUCGGGUGAAGUUUUUCUAUCAUACACACUGGCACUGGUACCGCCGCUAAGUACCUAGUACCUGCAACCAAAGAACUUACUUUCGAACUCGAGCGGCUACCUGUAUCAUUCCGUCUCUCUAAAGCAUUUGAUCAUGCUCCGCCGAUAACUGUGACUCAGUCAACUUACCGUGC